AGCGAACGCUGGCGGCAGGCUUAACACAUGCAAGUCGAGCGGGCAUCCUUGUGGUGUCAGCGGCAGACGGGUGAGUAACGCGUGGGAACGUGCCCUUCGGUUCGGAAUAACUCAGGGAAACUUGAGCUAAUACCGGAUACGUGCGAGAGCAGAAAGGUUUAUCUGCCGAAGGAUCGGCCCGCGUCUGAUUAGCUAGUUGGUGAGGUUAUGGCUCACCAAGGCGACGAUCAGUAGCUGGUCUGAGAGGAUGAUCAGCCACACUGGGACUGAGACACGGCCCAGACUCCUACGGGAGGCAGCAGUGGGGAAUAUUGGACAAUGGGGGCAACCCUGAUCCAGCCAUGCCGCGUGAGUGAUGACGGCCUUAGGGUUGUAAAGCCCUUUUCUCCGGGACGAUAAUGACGGUACCGGAGGAAUAAGCCCCGGCUAACUUCGUG
rnacentral:rRNA from 1 species